ensembl:snRNA U6 U6 spliceosomal RNA
GUGCCUGCUUUUGCAGCACACAUGCUAAAAUUGGAAUGAUACAAAGAAGAUAGCAUGGCUCCUGCACAAGGAUAACACAGAUUCAUGAAGCAUUCCUUAUUUUU